AAUCCUGAACCACUUUUUGUUUCUUCCCAAUGACUCAAAUUCCUUCGGCAAAAAUUACGGUCGCCGAAUCCCGAUGAUGACAGCAGUCGCUGAUUUCGAUGAUGAUUGUCGCCGAAUUUCUCGCCGGAUUCCGACGGUGACAGCAGUCACCAAUUUUCUUCCUUCCGGUGACGACAACAAUUACAGUCGCUGGCUUUUCUUAUGACGACGGUGACAACCAACUUUGUUCUUGAUGUUGGAUCAACGUCUUCGGAUUUGUUUGACAAAAAAAGAGACGUACCCUGUGCCCGUACCAGCUUCGUGUUGGGAUGGGUUUGGCAGCAAAAUCAAUGAGUCCACGCAACAUAACUCCUAG
rnacentral:lncRNA from 1 species